ensembl:lncRNA
CUUGAAGGGCCCUGGAGGGCAUAAGCCCGAAAAGAGAUUGAUAGUGGACAUCACCAGCAGAUUUCAGCCCCAGCUGAGUUCAGGACAUCCCGCAUCACUGUUGGAAAACAUCUGGGAGUCUUCCUCAGAAGCCCCACCCUGAGAGUUGGCCCCACCCACUCUCUCCUGGCUACACUGCACUCAAGACCUGAUGUGUCGCCAUCUAGAAAACUUUUGAGAGUCCCUUGGACAGCAAGGAGAUCCAACCAGUCAA